rnacentral:rRNA from 1 species
GACGGAGGGGGCUAGCGUUGUUCGGAAUUACUGGGCGUAAAGAGCGCGUAGGCGGUUUGGUAAGUUGGAAGUGAAAGCCCGGGGCUCAACCUCGGAAUUGCUUUCAAAACUGCUAAGCUAGAGUGUAGUAGGGGAUGAUGGAAUUCCUAGUGUAGAGGUGAAAUUCUUAGAUAUUAGGAGGAACACCGGUGGCGAAGGCGGUCAUCUGGGCUACAACUGACGCUGAGGCGCGAAAGCGUGGGGAGCAAACAGG